rnacentral:lncRNA from 1 species
UCCCGUCUUUAAACAAACGGCCCUUUUCAGGGCCACCAAUUUAUUCUUGAAAAAAGGAAUUUGCUAAGUGCUAUAUUGUACAUUUCAAUUCUGGUUGUGGUAAUGAUAAAAGGCGCGCAAAUUUGCUGAUUCAUUGCAAGGUGGCACUCUUGGAUUGUUUUGAUUCAACCUAAUUCGUCUGCGGUAGUUUGUUUGUCCGAUUGUGAGAGAAAAAUUAUUUCUUUUUUUAUGUUUCAUAUUUUGGUUAAUUUGGAUGUAUUUUAAAUGUUAUUGUCGUAUAGAUUUGUUUGUUUCCUUUCUAUAUCUCUGAUCUGAAUGAAAAUUCAUGUCUGAAGUGAAUUCAGUAUGAAUUUUUGAUCCACCUUAUUCAAAUUCAUGCAACCUUGCCCCGUCCCCCUCAAUUUAGUGCGAAUCAUUCAAAAUGGUCGCCGCUUGGCGUGUUGGUGGUAGCUGUGUGACAACGAUCCCCAUGGCAAUUCUCAUUCUCAGGAAUUUGAUAAUAUCUUCAGCUGAAGGUUUCGUGUGAUCUGGGUGCUUGUGAUAACAGUGAUAAAAUGGUCCAAUUCAAGCUGUCUUCCAAAACCAAGGAAAUUCAAGGGGUCAGGGUGAGAAAAGUCGCAUAAAAGGAGAGAGAAAAGAUCUAAGUAAUCAGUUGAGUGAGCACCUCCGACACGGCAACAACUGCUGUGCAGUGUGCAGUAUUUGACACUAAAUCGCAAUCAUGAUCAAUUAUGGUGUUGUGCUGCUGUUGGGUGGAAAAUCGUUGAUGGUUGGGUCGACCACUGGUGUACAGAUGUCUCCUGAGUAUGGCGGAUAUCAAAGCACAACGCUACUGUCUUAUUACUCAACAUCAACCAACGCUGCUCCAGCUUGCUACACCAAGGCUCCAAAGUACAACACCAUCAAGGCUUCAGAGUAUUACAAGUUGUAUUAAAGGAGAGAAAAGACGAAAUAAUCAGGCGAGUGAUUAUCUCCGACACGACAACAACUGCCGUGCACUAUGUCACCAACUGCAUUCUUCAUCAUCCAUAGGGCAAACUGUGGCGUCGUGCUGCUGUUGGUUGUUGUCCUCAAAUACUACACCACUGAGACUACAAUUUAUGCUGCCCGAGCUGCAUCACCAAAGAGCCCGAACACGUCCCCAGCAACGUCAACCUGCAGAAGGAAAGGCCAGUUUGUAUGUCCUUCACGGAGAUCAUUACGUAAAACUGUCAAUGCGGUGGUGUAGAGGUUGGGUGAGAACGGGAAGUGUUUGCUUCAUUAUCAAGCAGGUAAAAUAGCCGUAAGGCUUAAGAGAGAGGUCAGGGUAAGAAAAAAUUAGUAUAAAAGGAGAGACAAAAGGCCAUAGAAAUCAGUUGAGUGAGCAUAUCUGACACGGCAACAACUGCUGUACACUUUUUGUCACCAACUGCAUUCUCCAACGUAAUACCAGUUCGAAACCAAAUGUUAACUAUGGCGUUGUGCUGCUGUUGGUUGUUGUAUCCUUGAUGGUUGGGUCGACCACUGGUGUACCGACGUUUCGUGGUUAUGGUUGAUACCAAACCGCAACGCCGCCGUUUUACUACACAACAACAACGUUCGCAAUAACCGGAUGCUACACUACCAAGGCCGCUGAGUAUUACACCACAACCUAUGAUGUCCCGAACUACUACACCGAAGCCUCAAAGUAUAAUUCUGCCUCGAGUUACACCACCAAGGCAGCGGAGUACUACACCACCAAGGCAGCGGAGUACUACACCACCAAGGCAGCGGAGUACUACACCACCAAGGCAGCGGAGUGCUACACCACCAAGGCAGCGGAGUACUACACCACCAAGGCAGCGGAGUACUACACCACCAAGGCAGCGGAGUGCUACACCACCAAGGCAGCGGAGUACUACACCACUAAGGCAGCGGAGUACUACACCACUAAGGCAGCGGAGUACUACACCACCAUGUAUGCUGCCCUUGCCUUUUCGACCGAGGCUCCCAAGUACUACUCCGUUCCCAGCUACAACACCGAGGCUCCAGCUUAUUACACCACCAAAUCGGUUAAAUAUUACACAGAAACGCCCAAGUACUAGUAUUUUGUCAACUUUGCGUCAGUUGUCUAUUGGUGUUGGAUUUCUUCAAGACCGGUAUGCUGAAUUGUGAAUUGUUUGUUUUAUGUUUUAGAAGUGACUACUGCCUUAUUCAUACGGACAUGUUCUUGUGGUUCGACGAUGAUAUUUCAAAGAUUAGUUACGAAAGACACUUGUAACUGUAGAUUUUAUCAAAUCUUAUAAGUAAUGGGGAAGUGGCUGACCUUUGUAAAAAACUAAAAAUGAAAGACUUUGAAGUUGAGAGAAAUAUAUUGAUACAAUUCAUAAA